rnacentral:rRNA from 1 species
UGAAUUGACGGGGGCCCGCACAAGCGGUGGAGCAUGUGGUUUAAUUCGAUGCAACGCGAAGAACCUUACCUGGUCUUGACAUCCACAGAACUUUCCAGAGAUGGAUUGGUGCCUUCGGGAACUGUGAGACAGGUGCUGCAUGGCUGUCGUCAGCUCGUGUUGUGAAAUGUUGGGUUAAGUCCCGCAACGAGCGCAACCCUUAUCCUUUGUUGCCAGCGAUUAGGUCGGGAACUCAAAGGAGACUGCCAGUGAUAAACUGGAGGAAGGUGGGGAUGACGUCAAGUCAUCAUGGCCCUUACGACCAGGGCUACACACGUGCUACAAUGGCGCAUACAAAGAGAAGCGACCUCGCGAGAGCAAGCGGACCUCAUAAAGUGCGUCGUAGUCCGGAUUGGAGUCUGCAACUCGACUCCAUGAAGUCGGAAUCGCUAGUAAUCGUGGAUCAGAAUGCCACGGUGAAUACGUUCCCGGGCCUUGUACACACCGCCCGUCACACCAUGGGAGUGGGUUG